GAGGGUAGGUCCCUCGCCAUCGGCUUGCAGGAGUAGGUGGCAAACCACCGUAAGCGGCGUGCGUCAAAAGCGCGGGUCGUGAGCGUUACGGAAAAGGCGUCUUGAGGCGUCAGGU
rfam:Methylomonas sp. DH-1, complete genome.